rnacentral:rRNA from 1 species
CAGUCGCCGCGGGAAUACGAAGGGUGCAAGCGUUACUCGGAAUUACUGGGCGUAAAGCGUGCGUAGGUGGUGGUUUAAGUCCGUUGUGAAAGCCCUGGGCUCAACCUGGGAAUUGCAGUGGAUACUGGGUCACUAGAGUGUGGUAGAGGAUAGUGGAAUUUCCGGUGUAGCAGUGAAAUGCGUAGAGAUCGGAAGGAACAUCUGUGGCGAAGGCGACUAUCUGGGCCAACACUGACACUGAGGCACGAAAGCGUGGGGAGCAAACAGGAUUAGAGACCCGUGUAGUCCCUGUCUCUUAUAC